rnacentral:rRNA from 1 species
UACGUAGGGGGGCAAGCGUUGUCCGGAAUCAUUGGGCGUAAAGCGCGUGUAGGCGGCUCGAUAAGUCCGCUCUGAAAGCCCGGGGGCUCAACCCCCGGGAGGCGGGCGGAAACUGUCGGGCUAGAGUCCGGAAGAGGCGAGUGGAAUUCCCGGUGUAGCGGUGAAAUGCGCAGAUAUCGGGAGGAACACCAAUGGCGAAGGCAGCUCGCUGGGACGUGACUGACGCUGAGACGCGAAAGCGUGGGGAGCAAACAGG